CAUACACACACACACACACACGCAUGUCACCCUCUCUCUCUUAUACUAAAAAUUUAUAACUAUCGAGCAUCACCUAUAGAGUCAGAAGGCGUGAUUUGACUCCUGCUUCCACCAUCGACUGGCUGUGUGACCUUGGGCAAAUUUCUCCAACUCUCUGUAGGAUGGAUGUACUGACUGGGUAGCACUCCCUCGCAUAGGGCUGCAGUGAGGAGCAAAUGAGAUCGGGUGUAGGAGGUGCAGGCCACAGGGCCCAGCACGUAACUAAUGCUCAGUGAAAAGGAUGAAUGAAAAUGAAACCAGUGCUGGAGCCCAGACUGGGCUUGCAUAUGAGAUUCAAGACAGUUUGCACAACAGAGACGUCCUUGAACCUGGAGCAACCAAGCCGUGGCUAAUGCUGCAUCUCAGAGUGACUUUGGAGGCCAUGUCUGAAACUGGCAGCAUCACAAGAUGGAAGAAUCCUUGGUUACUGAGUCAUAGAGGCAGACAGGAAAGCUGUCCAACUAUGAACACCUGCAUUGGAUUUAGGAUGCCUGUGCCCACUGGACCCUGACUCUCCAGAGACCAAGAUGGCAGAGCAAUUCCAGGAUUCAUGUCAAGACAGAAAAGAGCAAUUCCUAGAGGAAAACAGGAGGGCUUCUUGUCUCAGGUUUCCUAAGGAACUUCCCAGUGGACUUCUCAAAUCUUACUGCCUAGAUUUGUGUCCUAGGCACAUUCUUAACAGAGAUGGAAUGACCAUUAUCGGCUUAGACUAAUCAGGACCCACCUUCUGGAUCCAGGAACAAUUUCAAGUGACAUUCACAGUUGAGAGGAGCUCCUGACUCAACUCAUUUAUCUGCUUGCCUAGAUGGCAUCUGCCCAAGUAAUAUCAUAUGCUGUGUAACCAGAAAGGAAAAGCAACUUCUCUUUGGGAAUUUCAGUUUCAAAAUAUCUCAGGGAAGAUUCUUACUGGUUCUGUUGGGUCACCUGACCACCACUUAGACCUAUCACUGUGAACAGCAAAAUAGAAUGUACUGAUUGGUCCUUUCCACUCUGUGACCAAGAAGACUGAAACUCACCAAAUGAAUUGGAUGUAACCACUGGAAGAAUUUCUGCUGGGCAGAUGUCACAAAGUACAGAUGCUGAUAUAAAACACAGAAGUUGAGGUAAAUAUUGAUAAAGCAUAGACUUUAACUGAUCAAGCUCAUUGGGCAUAUGUGACAAUAUAUAGCAAGCAUUGGGACAAUUUUCUUCACUAAUUCAUUCAUUCAGCUUAUGAAGUUUAUUAAGAACCUAAUAUACAUAGACAUGGUAUGAGAUGUGUUAUAGUACUAUUACAUGCAGGAAACAUGGUAGACAUUCAGAAACUACAACUGAAUCAUUGCCAUAUUCUUGUGACUCAGAGAUACUUUUCCUCUGGGCAGGAAACUGUCCUGCUGGACUUGACCUGAGCACCAAUGACUCAGUCUAAUCAGUGCCAUCCCCUAAAGCCUUGUGGGGUUUCUCCUGCUGGUGGUUCUUAGAUUCCACUAUUGGGAACAGCAACAAAACUAAGAUUUUUGUCAGUGUAGGGGUUAAAGUAAAAUCAUGUGGCAUUUCCUGGCUCUUUAUCAAUGAAGGUGGCUGAUGAGAAUCAUAUUUCAAGACUAUUUCCUCCAAAAGGGUGAUGAACAAGCUGCACUUAAAAUUGUUUGACACCUAUACUCUGGUUUCUCUUCAUAUUGUAUGAAUCUUUCGCCUUUUACUAAAGACUUCCAUGGGGAGAAACAAUUCUGAGUUCUCAGCUAAUUUUUUUAAGCCUUGUAUUUGGCAAGGCUGAUUUAAAAAAAAAUUGUUUGACACAGUAUCUCCUGUAUCCAAAUUUAUCAGCCAUCCCUGCUCCCACCCCCAAAGCAGGUGAUCUGGGAAGUGAUAGGUUAGGGAAUUGGGUAUCAAGUUGAUUGCAAAUUGAUCCUCACCCCAACAAAAGCAUUUCAGGUGCAGGCAUUUAAAUGAUUAGAUAAAACACCCCUGUUCUCCUUUCCAAUGACACCUUAAGGGUGUGGUUCUCAAAGUGAGUUUCUCCAGAUGAACAGUAUCAACAUCAUCUGUAAACUUGUUAGAAAAGCAAAUUCUUGGGCCCCACCCCAGACUUCCUGAGUCAGAAGUUCUGGAGUUGAGGUUCAGCAGACUGUGUUUUAACAAGUUUCUACCCCCUACCCUACCAAGGUGACAGGAGGUCAGCUAAAAUUUUACAACUGACUUUAGUUGUUCUGUUCCACAGAAGUGAUUUUUCUGAUGAUGAUUAAAAUGGAAACUUAACCUUU